rnacentral:tRNA from 1 species
UGGAUCACCUCCUAACAGGGAGACAACAAAAUGUUUAAUAUUAUUUUGUCACCUUAGGUCGAUCGGUAUCUCACGUUCUUAAUUUAUUAAGAAUUUCAUUUCCUAAGUUUUUCUAGGUCACACCCAUUAUUUUUCCUGGGCCAUUAGCUCAGGUGGUUAGAGCGCACCCCUGAUAAGGGUGAGGUCCCUGGUUCAAGUCCAGGAUGGCCCAUAUCUCUAUGUUGGGGGUAUAGCUCAGUUGGUAGAGCGCCUGCUUUGCAAGCAGGAUGUCAGCGGUUCGAGUCCGCUUACCUCCACUGAUUACCACCUCUUCCAUAUUUUUAUAGAAAGGAAAUUUUUUGAGUUGUGAUCAAAUUCUGAACGAAUCUAGCUUCCUAAUGAAAUCAUUAAGAUGCUGGACUCAUUGAAUUAAUUUCAUUGAUUUCAGAGAACCUUGACAACUGCAUAGUUUAUUUUUAAAGACAAUAAGCAUCUUUAAUGAUGCAGAUUUAUUAUUUGUGCGAAUGCAUUAAUAACAAUUCUAUUAAGCUGAUGCUUCAAUUUUGAAGUUAUUGGUCAAGCUACAAAGGGCUCACGGAGGAUACCUAGGCACACAGAGGCGAUGAAGG